rnacentral:rRNA from 1 species
CCUACGGGGGGCAGCAGUGAGGAAUAUUGGUCAAUGGUCGGGAGACUGAACCAGCCAAGCCGCGUGAGGGAGGAAGGUACAGAGUAUCGUAAACCUCUUUUGUCAGGGAACAAAGGCGGGGACGUGUCCCCGGAUGAGUGUACCUGAAGAAAAAGCCUCGGCUAACUCCGUGCCAGCAGCCGCGGUAAUACGGAGGAUGCGAGCGUUAUCCGGAUUUAUGGGGUUUAAAGGGUGCGCAGGCGGUCUGUUAAGUCAGCGGUCAAAGCCCGGGGCUCAACCCCGGCCCGCCGUUGAAACUGGCAGUCUCGAGUUGGAGAGAAGUAUGCGGAAUGCGCGGUGUAGCGGUGAAAUGCAUAGAUAUCGCGCAGAACUCCGAUUGCGAAGGCAGCAUGCCGGCUCCACACUGACGCUGAGGCACGAAAGCGUGGGUAUCGAACAGGAUUAGAUACCCGUGUAGUC